rnacentral:rRNA from 1 species
AUUGAACGCUGGCGGCAGGCCUAACACAUGCAAGUCGAACGGUAACAGGAAACAGCUUGCUGUUUCGCUGACGAGUGGCGGACGGGUGAGUAAUGUCUGGGAAACUGCCUGAUGGAGGGGGAUAACUACUGGAAACGGUAGCUAAUACCGCAUAACUUCGCAAGACCAAAGAGGGGGACCUUCGGGCCUCUUGCCAUCGGAUGUUCCCAGAUGGGAUUAGCUAGUAGGUGGGGUAACGGCUCACCUAGGCGACGAUCCCUAGCUGGUCUGAGAGGAUGACCAGCCACACUGGAACUGAGACACGGUCCAGACUCCUACGGGAGGCAGCAGUGGGGAAUAUUGCACAAUGGGCGAAAGCCUGAUGCAGCCAUGCCGCGUGUAUGAUGAAGGCCUUCGGAUCGUAAAAUACUUUCAGCGGGGAGGAAGGGAGUAAAGUUAAUACCUUUACUCAUUGACGUUACCCGCACAAGAAGCACCGGCUAACUCCGUG